CAGUGACUUCAAGGGAAGCCCUCACACUGGACAAAACUGGAGUCGUCAGUCAAGGUGCCUGUGUACCUUGACAGCAGUGACAACCAGGACCGUCUUUUUAAUUUUUUGUUUUCAGUGCUGCAGAGAACAAACACACAACUGUCCUUCAGUGAUCCCAUCAAGUUCAUCAUGGAUGUUCUUUUUCCAGAGGUAUUUCAAGCCCAGUUCUUUUGUUUUCCAUCACUUUCAACCUAUAAUGGCCUUCUGCUUUACAUAGGCAUGUAUUUUUGUAAAAUUAACGAUUCUCUUUUUAAAGGCCAUCACAUAUGGCCUGUCUGCACUCCACAACCUCUCCAUGCAGGAAGCUGAGGAGGUCUUCCAUUCUGGUCCGCCAAUUCAUCAGAGGUAAAAAAAUAAUAAAACAUAACACAAAUUAGCUGAAAUCCUUACUAUAACUAAGAAAUUGUAAAUUCUUCAAUUUACAAUUUCAGGUCUUUCAGUUUUUUCUUUCAGCUUUUUCAGUUUCAAAUAUUAAUUUACCCAGCAUUGAUUAUUUUCAUUUCCUAUUGUAGUGAAGUGGAAGAAUUCUGUCGGUCAAUUGAAAAGAAAAUGAAGAGGGAAGGAAACCUCUGAAUGGUAUGUAGAGCUGUUACAUACUUCACAAUCUGGGCUUUAAAUAUCUAAGUCAAAUGUCAAACAUUUUAUUUCUAUCAUGUAUCUUUCUUUCAGGACUCAUCCAUCCUGAUAAUUCACAUGAGGCUGCACAAGUCCUGCAACAAAAUCCUCAAUUUGUUAAUAAAAAAAUAUGUUUACUACAAGAUGUGUUGUUUGUUUCUGAAGUGAUUAUGGUAUGUUUUUGACCAAUUUUACAAGGUUUAGCAUGUUUCUAUGAUAUUAGGAUAACAUCAUGACUCCAUUCAAUGCUAUAGAAAGAUAAUUAACUACUCUAAUAAUGAGAGAAAAGAACUUGCCCCCAUCAAGGGACUUCAAACCUGCAUUCCAUAUGAAUUUAGACUCUUGUGAUGGUUGUCUCCCAUUUCCUGAUGCUGCCUUUCAGACAUGGCUCCAUCUUCCUCCUGUUUCUCCCAACAACCACUCAAGUCACAAAGAACUGCUCU